UUUAAAUAGUUGCCUUAUUUUUGUCGAGUUGAUCUGACUUGCUAAUGGCAUAUAAUUCCAUGUUCGAUGAUUGAAUCAAUUGUCCUGGUUCUCGUGUGAUAUCGAUAUAACAAAUUCAUGAAUCGAGUAAAGAUAAGAUUUUCUUGCCAUGCAUCCCCCACCUUAGGUAGGUCAGGGAUCCCCAAGCACCAUGAGCACGUUUAAUCUCCAGUCAUUAUUUGCAUGUUAGUUAAGAGAAAGUUUAUGUUUUUUUUUUAUUGGAUUUACAAGGUCGUAUCAUUUAAAGUUUGCUUUUAUUUUCUCUCGAAGCAAAAAUGCAGACAGCAUAUUUCUUUAGAGAUGAUUAAGGCAAUGAUUAAGUAAUGGGGCAUCAUUCAGAAAGUGGAAAGAAAAGCAUUUAUAACGGGCAUAAGUAGCUAGGCAUGGUCGUCGAAUGAUCGAUGGUUGAGUGGCUUAAUUUAAAUUUUCCACAUUUCUCCUAGGCCAAAAGCAUAUCCAAAAGAAAUAAAAGGAGUUAUGUGUCGUGAUAUCAAAAGAAUAUGUAUAAGUUUGCUUUUUCCUGAGGCAUCUAAAGACAAAACCAAAGCCUAGUGCUUCAUGUAGUGCCUAGAUCUCGUCUCCUAUGUGGGAGAGAUACAAAGACCUUCCGAUUCAAAAACCCUCAUUUCAAAGAGAAGUCCUUAUGAUCUAAAUUUCGAUUUUUUGGCCUGCAUUCGCCGAGAGAGGAAAGACCAAGCAAAUAUCUUAUUAUCACGAGCUAAGUAAUGAUGCAUUAAUUACAUGGACUCAUCGAGACUGCAUACAUUUGACUGGUUCGGAGAUUAAAUGCACACACACUGCACGGGAUCCCUUUCCGUAUACAUUAUUUGGAUGUGCAAGUGAACUGAAUUUUGAACUCGAUGAUGAUUGGAUCAAUUUAAUCACGAGAUCGCAAUACAUAUAACUCUUUGAGAACAUGUGUCCUUCUUGCUAUAUCGGAUCAAUGCGACUCAAUUAGCUUGCACUUUUUUCUUCCUAAAAAGAAAUUGGCCAAAAUUCUGAGUUUCGGGGUAUAUGAUAGGGAUGGGAAUCAAUGUUAUCUUUUAAAUAUGUUUAUAAUAUAAUAUUAUCUCAUCAAUAUUUCUUCGACAAAUUAUGAUACCCUGAAAUGAAGAUAAUGCAAGUAAAUGCAGGUAUUUUCGAAUCCCUCAUUCAUUUCUCCCUCAAAUUAUAAUUUAUCCCUCAAAUUAUAAUUUAAUUCUCAUUUAAGCAUCGGAGAGGGAAAUCGAGAUUCCCUCUCGAUCUCCCCUUUUUGCAGGUCGUUCGGGAUUCGUUUGUGGACGACUCUCGCCAUGCUUAUCUUAUGGAAGACAAGUUCUCAUUGAAUAAAGAGUUCAAAGUUUCAAAUGGCCAGCAAACCGUACUUCAUAUAAGGGAGGUGCAUUCGGAAUGCUCUGUAUUCCUGCAGAUCUCAUCAUUUCGGCUGGAAUAUUGCUGAAAGAAUCCCGUGAACGCAAACUCUGUUUAUCGGCAUGUAAGCAUAAUCUCCUUCUCAACUUUACUAGUUAGAUCGUACAAGGGAAUAAGGAGAUUGUAAUCACCAUGUCAACUGCAAUAUUUUUUACUGUCUAUACGAACUCCCACUGAUGGAUGUAUAUUAACUGAUUUUGUCAAUGUAACUUUAAUCUGGAAUAAAUCAAUAUCAAUCGAGCGAUUAGUACGUCGUCUUCUCGGAAAGACAUGGUCAAUUAAAGAUAGAGAAUGAGGUACUGAUAAGUCAGAACAGAAGUGGAAUGAGAUCUAUAUGCAAACCUUAUCCAACAUGCGGUUUUCCAGGAAGCCUUUUGAGAACUGGAAAGACCAUAGAACUUCUUCACGUGAGCCAUUUUGAUCUGACCAAGCAAAAGCCUCUCCGAUUUCAUGUCCCCAUGCAAAA